AAACNUUCAACAACGGAUCUCNUGGNUCUGGCAUCGAUGAAGAAGCAGCGAAANGCGAUAAGUAAUGUGAAUUGCAGAAUUCAGUGAAUCAUCGAAUCUUUGAACGCACAUUGNNNCGGCAGUAAUCUGCCGGCAUGCCUGUCCGAGCGUCAUUU
rnacentral:rRNA from 1 species